rnacentral:lncRNA from 1 species
GAGUAACUAAACAUGGCCUAAACUCGCCGGACCGCAUCGAGAUUUACCAGAGUGUGCACGGAAUAAACGUAGAUCGCCAUCUUCUAGCUACCUAGUGGAUCAAUUCGCACAUGAUCGAAAUAAAAUCCGGUCAAAAUGCUCGCCGCGCUGCGCAUUCGUGUUUGACCCGGCCCAGGGCCGCCCGGCCGCAGGCGCAGGUCAAACCCGCCAGGCAGGCAGGUUUCCCUCCGCUAGCCGCCGCCGCCUCCGCCUGCCGGUUUCCCUCCGCGGGCUUGGGCCUCGGUGGUGGCCAGGCUUCGCUCGCUUCGCCAAAUUAUUAACCGCGCGCACGUGUGCUUACGCUAGUAGUACGCGUACCUUCUCGAUCAUCCUCGGCUUAAUUUCUAGUGGCCUCCGCCUAAUUAGCGUCACCUCCUUGCGCUGUAAUUAAGCCCGGCGUUGACACUGCGUGCGUAGUGUGAGUUUUUUUAGGGGGUGUUUGGAUACAAGGUGCUAAACUUUAACAGUGUCACAUCGGAUGUUCGGAUGCUAAUUAAAUGGUCUAAACAUGAGCUAAUUAUAAAACUAAUUGCAGAACCCUAUGCUAAUUGGUGAGAUGAAUCUAUUAAGCCUAAUUAAU